UACAGAGGGGGCAAGCGUUGUUCGGAAUUAUUGGGCGUAAAGGGUGCGUAGGCGGUGCGGUAAGUCUUCUGUGAAAUCUACGGGCUUAACUCGUAGUCUGCAGGAGAAACUGCCGUGCUUGAGUAUGGGAGAGGUGAGUGGAAUUCCUGGUGUAGCGGUGAAAUGCGUAGAUAUCAGGAGGAACACCUGUGGCGAAAGCGGCUCACUGGACCAUAACUGACGCUGAGGCGCGAAAGCUAGGGGAGCAAACAGG
rnacentral:rRNA from 1 species